rnacentral:rRNA from 1 species
UACGAAGGGGGCUAGCGUUGCUCGGAAUCACUGGGCGUAAAGGGUGCGUAGGCGGGUCUUUAAGUCAGAGGUGAAAUCCUGGAGCUCAACUCCAGAACUGCCUUUGAUACUGAGGAUCUUGAGUUCGGGAGAGGUGAGUGGAACUGCGAGUGUAGAGGUGAAAAUUCGUAGAUAUUCGCAAGAACACCAGUGGCGAAGGCGGCUCACUGGCCCGGUACUGACGCUGAGGUGCGAA